rnacentral:rRNA from 1 species
UACGGAGGGUGCGAGCGUUGUCCGGAAUCACUGGGCGUAAAGGGCGCGUAGGCGGCUCGUGAAGUCAGUGGUGAAAGCCCAGGGCUCAACUCUGGGUCGGCCACUGAUACUCGCGAGCUCGAGUUUGGUAGAGGCAGAUGGAAUUCCGGGUGUAGCGGUGGAAUGCGUAGAUAUCUGGAGGAACACCGGUGGCGAAGGCGGCGUUCUGGACGGCAUCUGACACUGAGAAACGAAAGCCAGGGGAGCAAACGGG